rnacentral:lncRNA from 1 species
GAAAGUAGGCUUACUGAAUAGGGUGGGAAUUACAUUUAAAUAGCCCAGAGUUUCCCAGUGAGGAGUAAGCAAUGCAAUGUUUAGUUGUUGUCUGUUCAUUAGAAGUCAGCUGUUUGGUAAUGGAGACUAUUUAUGGGUGAGUGGAUUUUUGAUUGGACCUAAAGCAGCAAAAAAAUGUCUUGUGGCAUGAACAGAUUGAACAAAUUUGUUUCAGAUCAAAGUUUCGUGAACUCGCUCCAUUUGCAACAACUGGCUGACAAUAUGAACCUUCAAACCUACCUUAAAAUCCAUCUGGCUGCAUCAAGGGAUGGAGUUCUGUGUUGCUGGUGAACAGGAUACUGAAGAAUAGAACAGGAUACUUCCACUUCAAAGUCAACAAUCAGCAGUAAACAAAACAGAAGCCGGCCCCUCGUGAGCUCAAUCUGCAACUUGUUGACUGUAGUAAGAAAUAAAUAUAAACAACAUGCCUUCUAAUAGUGAGUUAGAGUGGUGUAAGUCUAUGAUUCUAUUAUUCUAAGUCUUAUAACAUCAGAACCCACUUUUUGGAUUGUUGCAGACUUAGAUUUCUUUUCUGUCUGCAAUGGACAAAUUCACCAGGUGCUUCAGCAUGACUAUGGCUAACUUCCACCAGAAACUGACUAAAGAAUCCUGUUGGAGAACCUAGAGAUUCAUAGAACUCUUUCUAGGAAUCUCUAGAUCUACUAGCAUGAAUCCAUGGAGGACCUAAAGAUUCCUAGAGGGAACAUUUUAAACAAAUCUGCAAACAAUCAAAUCAACAAAAGUCAAACCUGCAAGUGUGGAGGGCUGACUAUCAACGUUUUUGUUUUAUUUUUGCUUUAUGGAGAGCUGUUUUUCCCCUGAUGUCCCCAUGUUUCUGGAAAUAGUUUGCUUGGAUGUGAAUUAAGGGAUUCUUAGAUCAUCAGUCAUACAAAAGUCGGCAGAAUGCAUUUUCAACUCACAGCGCAUUUAUUUUAUUAAUCCCCUUCCAUUUAUCAUGAUGUGAGGUGGGAGAUGGAAAAAAAGUCAAAUGUUAACAAAGAGGACAGCAUGCAAGUUACAUAACAGACCAAAAUAAUAAGACACCACAUAAAAU